GUUAGGAAUAUUGGACAAUGGGCGCAAGCCUGAUCCAGCCAUGCCGCGUGAGUGAUGAAGGCCUUCGGGUUGUAAAGCUCUUUAGCCGAUGAUUAUAAUGACUGUAGUCGGAAAAUAAGCCCCGGCUAACUUCGUGCCAGCAGCCGCGGUAAUACGAAGGGGGCGAGCGUUAUUCGGAAUCACUGGGCGUAAAGCGUGCGUAGGCGGCUUUGCAAGUUGGGAGUGAAAGCCCAGGGCUCAACCCUGGAAUUGCUCUCAAAACUGCAAGGCUCGAAUUCGGGAGAGGAUAGCGGAAUUGUCAGUGUAGCAGUGAAAUGCGUAGAUAUUGACAGGAACACCAGUGGCGUAAGCGGCUAUCUGGACCAAUAUUGACGCUGAGGCACGAAAGCGUGGGGAUCAAACAGGAUUAGAAACCCCAGUAGUCC
rnacentral:rRNA from 1 species